UUAACUUGUAAACAAAAUACUUGUAAAAUAUAAAUAAAAAAGGACUUUACUGAGAGAAAACAAUGAUUUCUAAUAAAUUAUAUGAAAAAUAUAAUAAUUAUCGUUAUUGCAUAGUAAAAGAAUGUAAAAAUACGUCGAUGAAAACUCCAAACAAACUGUGGAUAAAAGUUCCUAGUGAAAUAAACAUGCGCAAAACCUGGCUCAAGCUUGCUAAGAGGGAUCCUUCAACUUUAUUGACUACAAAUACUCAAAUAUUUUUUUUUGCGAAGAUCACUUCGAUCUAGAAAAUUAUAUGGCAAAUCAUAACCAGUAUAAAGUUUUGGCCUCGGUGAAAAGGGUUCGAAUCAGAGCAGGUUGUAUACCAUCCAGGUUUAAAUGCCAGACUAAAAAAAAACACAAAUCAACACUGUGUCUAAAUGAGCCACAACAAAUUUUGAAGAAAAGAGCUAAAGUCCCCGUUUGGGAAGAUAAAAAAGUCUGCCCUAUUGGAAUAUCAACAUCAUCCUUUAAACAAGAAUCAAUGAAUAUGGAAAAUGUUGUAACUUCUUGUUUUUCUCUUGAAAAUAUGUCCUACAACAAGACAGCUCCAGUUGUACAACAUAAUGCUUUGUUCUGUGGUCAGGCUGUGCAAGCGCAGCCAGUUAAUCAAUAUACAUCAUGUUGUGUAGUACAACAAUCCAAAGGAAGCAACAACAAACCUUCAGUAUCUGGUCAACACACAUUAAAUCAAAAGUUUUUUUUUUCAACUGAGAAAAAAUUUGAUAGUGAAGUAUCAUAUACACUAUCUCCAGCAGGAUCAACCCUGUCCACAAAACAAUCUAGUCAGACUACUGUUGAUAAUUAAUUAAUUACAGUUACAGUUUUUCUACAGUAUUUAAUACUAACUAAUUAGUUAUUCUCAAGAAAAACUGUAUCUAAGAUAAACCUAAAACCAAACUUCAAAACAUAUAAAGCUCAGAGAAAAACAUGUUUAAUUAUGUGUGUAUGUGUGA